UGCCCCAUGGCUCAGUUGGUUAGAGCGCAUGACUGUUACUUUGCAAGACUAUCAUGAGGUCCUGAGUUCAAGCCUCAGUGGGGCAG